rnacentral:rRNA from 1 species
AUACGUAGGGGGCGAGCGUUGUCCGGAUUUACUGGGCGUAAAGGGUGAGUAGGCGGUUAUAUGUGUCAGAUGUAAAAGGCUAUGGCUUAACCAUAGUUAGCAUUUGAAACUGUAUGACUUGAGUGCAGGAGAGGUAAGUGGAAUUCCUAGUGUAGCGGUGAAAUGCGUAGAUAUUAGGAGGAACACCAGUGGCGAAGGCGACUUACUGGACUGUAACUGACGCUGAGUCACGAAAGCGUGGGUAGCAAACAGGAUUAGAUACCCUGGUAGUCCACGCUGUAAACGAUGAGUGCUAGGUGUUGGCCAGCGAUGGUCAGUGCCGCA